CCUACGGGGGGCUGCAGUGGGGAAUAUUGGACAAUGGGGGGAACCCUGAUCCAGCCAUGCCGCGUGUGUGAAGAAGGCCCUCGGGUUUUAAAGCACUUUCAGUGAGGAAGAACGCCUGGUGGUUAAUACCCAUCAGGAAAGACAUCACUCACAGAAGAAGCACCGGCUAACUCCGUGCCAGCAGCCGCGGUAAUACGGAGGGUGCGAGCGUUAAUCGGAAUUACUGGGCGUAAAGCGCGCGUAGGUGGCUUGAUAAGCCGGUUGUGAAAGCCCCGGGCUCAACCUGGGAACGGCAUCCGGAACUGUCAAGCUAGAGUGCAGGAGAGGAAGGUAGAAUUCCCGGUGUAGCGGUGAAAUGCGUAGAGAUCGGGAGGAAUACCAGUGGCGAAGGCGGCCUUCUGGACUGACACUGACACUGAGGUGCGAAAGCGUGGGUAGCAAACAGGAUUAGAUACCCUUGUAGUC
rnacentral:rRNA from 1 species